GACGAACGCUGGCGGCGUGCCUAAUACAUGCAAGUCGAACGCAGUGGGGACGGGUGAGUAACACGUGGGUAACCUCCCAUCAGAGGGGAUAACACUUGGAAACAGGUGCUAAAACGAUACUGAUGGAUGGACCCGCGGUGCAUUAGCAAGUUGGUGAGGUAACGGCUCACCAAGGCCACGUUGCAUAGCCCACCUCAGAGGGUGAUCGGCCACCCUGGUACUUGUCCCCGGCCCAGACUCCUACGGAAGGCAGCAGUAGUGAAUCUUCGGCAAUGGACGAAAGUCUGACCGAGCAACGCCGCGUGAGUGAAGAAGGUUUUCGGAUCUUAAAACUCUGUUGUUAGAGAAGCGGUAUCUAACCAGAAAGCCACGGCUAACUACGUGCCAGCCGCCGCGGUAAUUC
rnacentral:rRNA from 1 species